UGCUGAUUAAUUUGCACAUUUGACGCCGAUAUUUUAGACUUUGGACUGAAAAAUAGACGAUAUUUUCUGUGAUUCAUGUUAAAUGCGCUAAAACAAAUUAACGUAAAUAACGCAGCAUCUAUUUCCCACUUCCCGAGGCUCUAAUAUUUGUGCUGGCAAAUUUAGGCAAUAAUGCACUUUGUCUCAUAUUUUGUCUCAUACAGCCGUGCGUUAUUUUCCACAGUCUCGGCCCGUGUAAGUGCAGCAUUGUUAGGCGCGAAUCUGCACCCCGCGCUCGAAUUCUAGUGAAACCGCGUCACGGUUAUAUUUCUGGCCACGCAUGGAAAGACCCGUUCCAGAACCAGAGAUGUGCGCGCUUCAUUUGCAAUCGUUCGUUACUUUAGUAUUUUGCAAUCUCACUUUAACAUAACUUGUGAGAUGACAAAUUGAGCUUCUGAUUGCAUCUGUUCGCUGGACUUUAUUUAAAAUGAACUAUUUGCAUUUUUCUUGAUCAACAGCUGUCGUCAUGCCGGUGAAAGUUCAUUAUCAUGGUGCAUUUCAAGAUUUUCUAAAUGAAGUCACACACAAGAUCCUCAACCUCCAGCACAUGUACUCAUUCUUUGUCUGACCAUAAAAAGAGAGCAGCGCAAAACCAGCAAACAAAGGCCAGUGACAGAUUAGAUGUGAUGGCAAACAGAUUGUCCAUGACUCCCUGAAAAAAUAAUCCAGUGACGAGAAAGAAGACUAUGAUAAGACAGACUUGUGCACUUCCAUAAGUCCUGCACCAGUAUUGAAGGCCAUCUCAGUUGGAGGGAGGGCCACCAGCCAUUCCUACUGGUAUUGAGAAGGAUCAAGGACAGGAUCGACAAAUUCUUUGUGGUUGAAGAAGCACCUCAUCUCUUAAGGAACCAGCUCCUUGAGUGCUAUCGAACUUUUUCUACUGUUUCUACCUGCUAUGUAGAUCCUUUUAUCUUUAUCUUCCUGCUACACUCUACAACACUGAUGUUGGUCUUACCAGUGAGUCUCCCAAAGUAAAGGAAUUGCAUGGGAAGCAUUGACAAACUUUUGAUGACAAUUUUUCGGAGCAUCAUGUAUUUAAAGUACAGAUACUGGAAGUAAAGAGUAUGUUUAACUGCUAACAUUUUGAAGUUCUAUGGGUCUUUUGACCUGCAGAGUUCAUAUGGGUGAAUUUGAUGAUGAAUUUGUUUCAACUGUUAUGUCUAAGACGUGUCAUUCUUGAAAAUAAAGGUUCAAACUGA